AUAUUUCCACAAAUUACCCAUUUUAUAUAGCAACAACAAGAAAAAAAACAUAAGUUAUGUAUGCAGCCAGUUUCAAAAAUCUAUAUCAGAUAAGUAUUUACAUUCAACAGUCUGAGACAUCUUACUUUGAUUGAUAAAGUUACUACACACAUUAAAUGUCUAACAGAUAAAUAUUACAGGUAAGGAGGCUCGCCGGUACAUAAAUUUCAGCGAAAAAAUUAAACAUUUGUCUUUUCAUUACAAAUUUUAUUUAAUACACUAUAUGUUAUUACUUUACGAUAUGGUACAAAAAUCAACAACAAAAAAUCGAUUUGGUUUAGCCCCAGAUGACUUUUAAAAUAUUUAUAGAAUUGAAAAAGCUUCAAAUAAUCUCCCUUUGGUGCAAAAAUGCCAUUUUCUUACAAAUUACAAAAUUGAAAUAUCUUU
rnacentral:lncRNA from 1 species